rnacentral:rRNA from 1 species
AGUGAACGCUGGCGGUAGGCCUAACACAUGCAAGUCGAACGGCAGCACAGUAAGAGCUUGCUCUUACGGGUGGCGAGUGGCGGACGGGUGAGGAAUACAUCGGAAUCUACUUUUUCGUGGGGGAUAACGUAGGGAAACUUACGCUAAUACCGCAUACGACCUACGGGUGAAAGCAGGGGAUCUUCGGACCUUGCGCGAUUGAAUGAGCCGAUGUCGGAUUAGCUAGUUGGCGGGGUAAAGGCCUACCAAGGCGACGAUCCGUAGCGGGUCUGAGAGGGUGAUCAGCCACACUGGAACUGAGACACGGUCCAGACUCCUACGGGAGGCAGCAGUGGGGAAUAUUGGACAAUGGGCGCAAGCCUGAUCCAGCCAUACCGCGUGAGUGAAGAAGGCCUUCGGGUUGUAAAGCCCUUUUGUUGGGAAAGAAAAGCAGCAGGUUUAUACCCCGCUAUUCUGACGGUACCCAAAGAAUAAGCACCGGCUAACUUCGUG